AUCAGGUUUUGCCAACAAGUUUUUGGACCAUAUCUUUUUGCCAAUGCACUGUUAAGCUACUAUCUUUUUGCCACAAGACUGCCUUUUUGAAAAGCUACAUUACAACCAUAUGUGACGCCCCCUGCUUUAAAAAGGUAUUUUGUCAACCAUGGCGUUGCACAACUACAACAUGCAGGAUUACUACUAAGUACUUUUUCUGUAAAUAUGUAGUAUAAAUGAUGUAUAUAUGACAGUGCAAUCAUCAAUGUAACAGACAAAUGUAUAUAUGCAUAAACAGUGCAAACUUAUUUUAGUUGUCUUAUACUAUCUUACCUCAUUACUUACAAUAAUCUUCUUACUGUUGGAUAUUUUAAAUCAUCCCUAAAUAUUGUCAAAGUGAACGAUUUUUACGUUGGUUUUGGGAAGAGCAUAAAUUGAUCAAA